AUUGAACGCUGGCGGCAGGCCUAACACAUGCAAGUCGAGCGGAUGAGAGGAGCUUGCUUCUCGAUUCAGCGGCGGACGGGUGAGUAAUGCCUAGGAAUCUGCCUGGUAGUGGGGGACAACGUUUCGAAAGGAACGCUAAUACCGCAUACGUCCUACGGGAGAAAGCAGGAGACCUUCGGGCCUUGCGCUAUCAGAUGAGCCUAGGUCGGAUUAGCUAGUUGGUGAGGUAAUGGCUCACCAAGGCGACGAUCCGUAACUGGUCUGAGAGGAUGAUCAGUCACACUGGAACUGAGACACGGUCCAGACUCCUACGGGAGGCAGGAGUGGGGAAUAUUGGACAAUGGGCGAAAGCCUGAUCCAGCCAUGCCGCGUGUGUGAAGAAGGUCUUCGGAUUGUAAAGCACUUUAAGUUGGGAGGAAGGGUUGUAGAUUAAUACUCUGCAAUUCUGACGUUACCGACAGAAUAAGCACCGGCUAACUCUGUGCCAGCAGCCGCCGUAAAAC
rnacentral:rRNA from 1 species